AUUGAACGCUGGCGGCAGGCCUAACACAUGCAAGUCGAACGAGUGGCGGACGGGUGAGUAAUGUCUGGGAAACUGCCCGAUGGACGGGGAUAACUGCUGGAAACGGUAGCUAAUACCGCAUACCAUCGGAUGUGCCCAGCUGGGAUUAGCUAGUAGGUGGGGUAAUGGCUCACCUAGGCGACGAUCCCUAGCUGGUCUGAGAUGAUAACCAGCCAAACUGGAACGGAGCCACGGUCCAGACUCCUACGGGAGGAAGAAGUGGGGAAUAUUGCACAAUGGGCGCAAGCCUGAUGCAGCCAUGCCGCGUGUAUGAAGAAGGCCUUCGGGUUGUAAAGUACUUUCAGCGAGGAGGCGUUACUCGCAGAAGAAGCACCGGCUAACUCCGUGCCAGCCGCCGCGGUAAUAC
rnacentral:rRNA from 1 species